rnacentral:rRNA from 1 species
UCAAGCUAAAAAGGGCGCAGGGCGAAUGCCUUGGCACUGGGAGCCGAAGAAAGACGUGAUAAGCUGCGAUAAGCCGCGGGGAGUUGCAAAUAAACAUUGAUCCGCGGAUUUCUGAAUGGGGAAACCCACACGGAGUCAUGUCCGUGUAACAUACACUGAAUUCAUAGGUGUAUGUAGGGAACUGCCUGAACUGAAACAUCUAAGUAGGGCAAGGAAGAGAAAUCAACCGAGAUUCCGCUAGUAGUGGCGAGCGAACGCGGAAGAGGCCAAACCAGCGGUAGAAAUACCGUUGGGGUUACGGACUAGUACAAGUAUCGCAGAGUCUAGCUGAAGUGUGUGGGAAAGCACGCCGAAGAAUGUGAGAGCCAUGUAAGCGAAAGAUGAAGCGAGCGACUAGAAUCCAGAGUACGGCUGGGCACGUGAAACCCGGUCGGAAGUCGGGGGGACCACCCUCCAAGCCUAAAUACUACCCAGUGACCGAUAGCGUAUAGUACUGUGAAGGAAAGGUGAAAAGCACCCCGGGAGGGGAGUGAAAAAGAACCUGAAACCCUGUGCCUACAAGCACACAGAGGACGUCAAAGUCUGAUGUGGUACUUUUUGUAGAACGGUCCGGCGAGCGAAUGUAUGCAGCAAGGUUAAGUUGUUCAGCAAUGAAGCCGAAGCGAAAGCGAGUCUGAAAAGGGCGUUGAGUUGCAUGCAUUGGGCCCGAAACCGAGUGACCUACCCAUGAUCAGGUUGAAGUGGGGGUAAAACCCCAUGGAGGACCGAACCGACCUCCGUUGAAAAGGCGGCGGAUGAAUUGUGGGUAGCGGAGAAAUUCCAAUCGAACUCGGAGAUAGCUGGUUCUCCCCGAAAUAGCUUUAGGGCUAGCCUCAUGUUAGAUUUCCGGAGGUAAAGCACUGAAUGGCCUAGGGCCCGAGAGGGUACCGAAGCCUAUCAAACUCUGAAUGCCGGAAAAUUGAUGCAUGGGAGUCAGACUAUGUGAGAUAAGUCUCAUAGUCGAAAGGGAAACAGCCCAGAUCUACAGCUAAGGUCCCAAAGCAGGUUUAAGUGGAAAAGGAUGUGGAGUUGCGAAAACAGCCAGGAUGUUGGCUUAGAAGCAGCCACUCAUUUAAAGAGUGCGUAAUAGCUCACUGGUCGAGUGACUCUGCGCCGAAAAUUCAACGGGGCUAAAACCUGCACCGAAGCUUAGGCAUCCGCAAGGAUGGGUAGGGGAGCGUUGUGUACGAGGCGAAGCAUUAGCGAAAGCGGAUGUGGAUUGUACACAAGUGAGAAUGCCGGAAUAAGUAGCGCGAAUGAUGUGAGAAUCAUCAUGGCCGAAAGCCUCAGGUUUUUGGAGGAAGGUUCGUCCGCUCCAAGUUAGCCGGGAGCUAAGGUGAGGCCGAAAGGCGUAGCCGAUGCACAUACGGUAGAGAUUCCGUAGCCGCCGAAAGAUUUAAGCAGGGGGACACAUUUGAAGUGUUGGUGCCGGGUGUUGGUUUACCCGGUCGAAAGGGACUGAAAUUUAGUAGGGAAGUCCAGCAUGGAGAGUGGCGAGAAAAGCCCUGUGUAUAUCUAAGGCGCCCGUACCGCAAACCGACACAGGUAGGUAGGAAGAAGAUUCUAAGGCCAACGGGAGAAGGGUUGUUAAGGAACUCGGCAAAUUGACCCCGUAACUUCGGGAGAAGGGGUGCUCCAGAGAUGGAGCCGCAGAGAAUCGGCCCAAGCAACUGUUUACCAAAAACACAGGUUUGUGCUAAAUCGAAAGAUGACGUAUACGAGCUGACGCCUGCCCGGUGCUGGAAGGUUAAGAGGAGAUGUGCAAGCAUUGAAUCGAAGCCCCAGUGAACGGCGGCCGUAACUAUAACGGUCCUAAGGUAGCGAAAUUCCUUGUCAGGUAAGUUCUGACCCG